GCUCGGGUUUCUCUUCAUCUCGUACAAAUCUUUCGCCUUUACUAAAGAUUUCCGUGGAGGGGAACUGCCCCCCGAAGUUCUACGGUAUUUUUGGAAGCUCUGCUUCGGCGGAGCU